rnacentral:lncRNA from 1 species
AAAAAAAAGGCUCUGUAUCCAUUUUUUCUCCAUCCCUCCCAUCCGCACCUACGCAAAAAUGGGGAAAACUGAUAAAUCCACAGGCCACCCGCUGUCGAUCGUGCCACCAUCGUCAAGCCAUACCGCCAUUCACUUCAUCUCUACCUCUCUCAAACUCCUUUUCUCUACGCAUCCCCACUGACUUCUUACCCCCUUCAAUCAAAAGUCGUUAUCUCACGAAAAUUUCCUUUCGGUACCAAAUGGGAGCUAUUAUCAAAACGGAGGAUACCACAACAACGAGUUUAGAGCUAGAAUUGGAUAUUUGAAUCUCGCCGCCACUCAAUUUCCUCAAGUGGAAGCCGACUUUUGGAUCCACACUGAAAAAUUGUGUCAUUCUUAGAGCCUCCAAUGUCAAAUAGACUGCAAAAGUAUGGUAUUUUCUUGUGCUUGUAUUGUUAAUGAUGAUAAUAAUAGUUGUUGGGCUUGGAACGGGUUCCACCGUGAAACAUGCUGUUGACCGCAUCUCCGAGCUUAUUGGGUGGAUUGAAUUUAGUUAAAUGGAGUAGAGGGUCAUUGUUGAGGGUGAAAAUGGCAGAUUGAUUUGGUGGGGGUAGCUGUGGCUGUGGUUAUGGGAGGCGAUGGUGAGUGGCUGUGGCAAGCGACGGUGGGUGGUGGCGGCGGAUUGUUUUGGUAGGAUUGAAAAAGGGGCUUGGGGAUUUGUGAAGAAGAUAGCCAGCUUUCCUUUUUUCAAUUCUUUUAUAUUAAAAAGUUAAUUUACCACUUUACCCUUGUCUUGUAUGGUCAAACUAUUAAAUUUUCAAUUUUCUGGGGUCAACUGACGAUUUUU